UAUCUUUAUGUAAAUUUAGUAU
rnacentral:snRNA from 1 species